rnacentral:rRNA from 1 species
AUUGAACGCUGGCGGCAUGCUUUACACAUGCAAGUCGAACGGCAGCGCGGGCUUCGGCCUGGCUGCGAGUGGCGAACGGGUGAGUAAUGCAUCGGAACGUGCCCAGUAGUGGGGGAUAGUCCGUCGAAAGCCGGAUUAAUACCGCAGACGACCUGCUGGUGAAAGCGGGGGACCGAAAGGACUCGCGCUAUUGGAGCGGCCGAUGUCGGAUUAGCUAGUUUGUUGGGUAAAGGGUUACCAAGGCGACGAUCCGUAGCUGGUCUGAGUGGACGACCGCCCACACGGGGACUGAGACACCGCCCAGACUCCUACGGGAGGCAGCAGUGGGGAAUGUUGGACAAUGGGGGCAACCCUGACCCAGCCAGGCCGCGUGCGAGAAGAAGGCCUUCGGGUUGUAAACCGCUUUUGUUCGGGAAGAAAUCCUCUGGGCUAAUACCCCGGGGGGAUGACGGUACCGGAAGAAUAAGCACCGGCUAACUACGUG